GCACUGCCGAGGAGUCCCACAAUAGGACGAAACGGCCGUCAACCAGUGU
rnacentral:hammerhead_ribozyme from 1 species